CUAAAAAGACAGAAAUAAAUAAAUACGUAAAAUAAACCCAAGGAGAUGUACUUUUUGCACAUUUCUAUCUCUAUAAUUCUGUGGCUCAAGGCAGAAAUUUGAGUUCUAAUCUAAGGAAUAGAGGUGGAGUGGAAAAGUCCAGAGAGAUUUUAGUUUGCCAAGUCAGAAGGAAGGCAGAAACUUCAGACUAGGGUUCCUAUGUUUAGACUGUACCCAACUUCUGUUACCUCUGCAGUUUCCCACCAUUGUUAUUUUUUAUAUUUGUUGAUUCGUGGAAAACCCUGAAAGUGGGUAUAAACUGGGGAAGGAGGCAGGCUGAUUCUGGGUCCUUCAAAAACACUGUCUCUUAGAUCUAACCUCAUGUUGGCUGUUUUCUGGUAUAUCUUUCUUGGAGAAGGCCGGAGGACCUUUCUCUAGUUCUUGUGGCUAAAUACUGCUGAGUAAAUGUCUUCUUCCCUCCUCCAUGUACUUUGUUCUAGUCCCCGCCAGCUCCCCUCAUAUCCCCAUCACAGAGAACAGAAUCUGCCCUAUUCACAGACCGUGUCACUCAGGCAAGCAUGACGUGACCCUGGACCGCCUGAAUCCUGCUGACGGGCUGGGGCUGCACCUCCCUGAGGGGGAGGUCCUUAGUAGUGGACUGGCCAUUGAGCAAGGUCAACCAGAUGCCCUCCCUGGGGAAAAUGUAAGUUAGGAGUCACAGGAGAAUGGAUAACACUGGGGCUAACCAAUUGUCAGCUACGGGGCUGAGAGGAGCAUCAAGGGGUCUCCUGGUAAGGGCCAGAAACUUGCCGGACCAAUUCUAAAAAAGCUGGAACAAUUUUACAUUGUACAUGUGCCUGAGGAGCAGCAGUCCUGAUCAAGACAAGGCAGUCAGCCUCCAGGAAGGAACUUGGAGUCUGCUGUGUCUAGUUGGAGGUGAGCUGGGUAACACGGGAUAGGAGAAC